rnacentral:rRNA from 1 species
GCCUAACACAUGCAAGUCGAACGGGGUAGCAAUACCCAGUGGCGGACGGGUGAGGAAUACAUAGGAAUUUGCCUUUAGGUGGGGGAUAGUCCGGGGAAACUCGGUUUAAUACCGCAUGAUGUCGCAAGACCAAAGCCGGGGAUCGCAAGACCUGGCGCCUUUAGAGAAGCCUAUGUCUGAUUAGCUAGUUGGUAGGGUAAUGGCCUACCAAGGCGACGAUCAGUAACUGGUCUGAGAGGACGAUCAGUCACACCGGAACUGAGACACGGUCCGGACUCCUACGGGAGGCAGCAGUGGGGAAUAUUGGACAAUGGGCGAAAGCCUGAUCCAGCAAUGCCGCGUGUGUGAAGAAGGCCUUCGGGUUGUAAAGCACUUUGAUCUGGGAAGAAAAAGCUUUGGCUAAUAUCCAAAGCCUUGACGGUACCAGAGGAACAAGCACCGGCUAACUCUGUGCCAGCAGCCGCGGUAAU